AACUCUCUCUCUCUCUCUCUCUCUCUCUCUCUCACUCUCAUCACUCUCAGUCACGAAAAAAAAAUCAGAGCUCACUCACUCUCCCAUGCCGAUCAACCUACCUUCAAAUCGCUGUCCAUCCCGCCGCCGCUGUCCUCAGAUCUAAGGCUUUACACCGUCCAAUCCGCCGCUGCAGCUUUUCCCACCCAUCUCGCCGCCGCUGUCCUUCAUCUCCACUAGGAAACGGGCCGAUAAUAAUCGGUCCUACCCUCUGCCGCCGAUACCAACAACCUCCACCACAGCCGCUGCGGUCAUCCCCGGACUCUUCCCCUCCCUCAGCCGCCCAAAACGCUCCUGAAGGUAGCUGACAUUAGAAGGAUGAAUGGCUUGGCAACAGAUCUUCAAAUGUUUGCUUUGAAGACAUUACAAAUACCAUUACCAGGAAGACAUCCACCAUCUCCCAGUUUGUCUAAUGGGUCUGCUUCUCAAGGAUAUGAUAUACUUCAUCUCUACAAAUAACUAUUUUUACUUAUAGUCAAGCUUAUUAUCAUCCCAUUGUUAGCCUUUAGCCUGCAAGGAGUCACUUAUAAAAAUAAAUAAAAGAAAAAUGGAUUUUUUCUUUUCUUUUCUGGUCUAGGAUUUGCUCUAGCAUGUCUUGUGUCCACUAGUAUACAAUGCCAUGAUGGCUUUGUCUUCCUCUCACUUUAUUAUGCAUUCAUCAAUUUACUUGCCCUUGAGUUUAUGACACUUCGUUCUUGUAGCAUCCAUAUUUCCAACACUUUGCUUUCUUAUUGCAUAUAUAUGUUUAAGACAUUACAAAAAAAUAAUAUUUUUGUCUUC